rnacentral:rRNA from 1 species
GAGGGUCCGAUGAGAGUACCCGGAGAAAAAGCAUCGGCUAACUCCGUGCCAGCAGCCGCGGUAAUACGGAGGAUGCGAGCGUUAUCCGGAUUUAUUGGGUUUAAAGGGUGCGUAGGCGGGCUGUUAAGUCAGCGGUCAAAUGUCGGGGCUCAACCCCGGCCUGCCGUUGAAACUGGCGGCCUCGAGUGGGCGAGAAGUAUGCGGAAUGCGUGGUGUAGCGGUGAAAUGCAUAGAUAUCACGCAGAACUCCGAUUGCGAAGGCAGCAUACCGGCGCCCUACUGACGCUGAGGCACGAAAGCGUGGGUAUCGAACAGGAUUAGAUACCCUGGUAGUCCACGCAGUAAACGAUGAAUGCUAGCUGUCCGGUUCUACGGGACUGGGUGGCACAGCGAAAGCGUUAAGCAUUCCACCUGGGGAGUACGCCGGCAACGGUG